GUGAUGGGGCGUGCAAGGACAGUCCCUUGUGCAAGGGGUGUGUAGAGGCGUUGGGGCGUGCAAGGAGACACUUGUGCAAGGGUGUUUGGGGUGUGCAUGGACACUCCCUUGUGCAAGGGGCAAGUAAAGGCGUUGGGGUGUGCAAGAGACACUUGUGCAAGGGGUGUGUGAAGGCAUUGGGGGCGUGCAAGGAGACACUUGUGCAAGGGUGUUUGGGGUGUGCAUGGACACUCCUUUGUGCAAGGGGCGUGUAAAGGUGUUGGGGUGUGCAAGAGACACUUGUGCAAGGGUGUUAGGGGCGUGCAAGGAUGCUCCCUUGUGCAAGGGGUGUGUAAAGGUGUUGGUGGCGUGCAAGAGACACUUGUGCAAGGACGUUUGGGGUGUGCAAGGACAGUCCCUUGUGCAAGGGGCGUGUAAAGGUGUUGGGGUGUGCAAGAGACACUUGUGCAAGGAUGUUUGGGGGCGUGCAAGGACAGUCCCUUGUGCAAGGGGGGUGUAAAGGUGUUGGGGUGUGCAAGGGGUGUGUAAAGACACUUGUGCAAGGACGUUUGGGGUGUGCAAGGACAGUCCCUUGUGCAAGGGGGGUGUAAAGGCAUUGGGGGCGUGCAAGGAGACACUUGUGCAAGGGUGUUUGGGGCAUGCAAGGACGCUCCCUUGUGCAAGGGGCGUGUAGAGGC